rnacentral:sRNA from 1 species
AGGAAAGCCACAGCCGGUUGACUUGAAUGAACAGAUUGUCGUCACUUUGUUGAGGCUGCAGCAUGACAUGAGUGGAGUUUUGAAGCGAUUGAACAGUCUAGAAGAGUUAGUCCGAGCAGAGAAAAUGGCAAGAGAUAAAAAAGACAAGUUGUCAAAGGGAUGGUGGCCUGUACCAGAGUUGUCUCCCAAAACUGCUCUCCUAAUAAUUGUCUGGCCAUUUGUAGCGCAUUUCCUUUUGAAGUAUUUCAGCCAAAAACACAGGAGGUCCUAGUAUCAGCCAUAGAUAUCAAGUGUUACCAAUGUUGAAGUGCUAGAGAUUACUUAAAGACAGUAUAAUAAGAUAGAAAGAGACCAGGAUUAAUUUCUUUUGUUUUCUAAUUUGGUUUUAAAGACUUGUCAGGAACAUGGUUUUAAAUACAUAAUUCCAUUUUUUAAACUUUUUAGUGGACAUCACUGUGAUUGUACAUGCCUUUAAGAAGCAGUAAUUCACAUACCUAUGUACACUAAAUGGGCUACAUUUUUAUAGUAAAUAUUAACACUGCAAAUUAAAUAAAUGCAACAUUAAUAUC